UACGUAGGGCGCAAGCGUUAUCCGGAUUUAUUGGGCGUAAAGAGCUCGUAGGCGGUUUGUCGCGUCUGGUGUGAAAGUCCAUUGCUUAACGGUGGAUUGGCGCCGGGUACGGGCAGGCUAGAGUGCAGUAGGGGAGACUGGAAUUCCCGGUGUAACGGUGGAAUGUGUAGAUAUCGGGAAGAACACCAAUGGCGAAGGCAGGUCUCUGGGCUGUUACUGACGCUGAGGAGCGAAAGCGUGGGGAGCGAACAGG
rnacentral:rRNA from 1 species